CUUUGAGGUAGGGUCAUGGGAUUUGUAGUCAAUGUAAAGCGACGAGGAAAGGGACAAACGAAUUCAAAAUAAAAUGUUCAAACGUGUGGGCAGGAACGGCAGAAGUCCAGACAAUAACCAGGCCGCCGUGGCGGCGACGGUGAAGAAUCAAUUAACUGGUUAAUAUUUCAGUUUCAUGACCUGUCGUUGGAUUUAAAUAUACAUUUGCCUUUCAAUGUCAAUGGCUAUUUAAAAAAAAAAAGAAGAAAAUAUGCAACAGACUACAAUAAUUCAAGAUGCAAAUCAGUUACUUUGUGAAGGAUACCGUGGCUGAUAAUUCAAUCAUACGUUGAUUUGUGCGACUAAAGAAUCCCUGUCCAUGGAAAACAUCUGAAAAGAACGAUGCGCUCAAUUAUCUGAAGUGUGGGAUAUGACAACGUUCACAGGAUAAAGCUGACAAUCACAUAGAUCCUUGUAGCCUACGUGUUACAAUUCCAGCCAAGGACUCUUGCUGUUGAGCAGGAGUGCGGGAUGUCCAUAAGAGGAUGUUACCAGGGGAAGCAUUCCAGUCUGCAAGAGGACUGUCUGAUGAAUGCACCAAAUCUCUGAGCGGCCAAAAUGAAGACUCUGUGGGGGAGGAUCACAGUUUGAGGUCUUUUUAUUGUUGGAUAUGGAGAGGCUGACAUCCCUCAAACAAGGGAAGGGAUUUUGCCUCGGGGAUGACAAGAGUGGUUUUAGUAUAAAGAAAGGUGUUAAUUUUAUUAGAUACAACAUACACAAUUUAAUGUAUUGGCGCACAAGGAAUUUAUUAAGCUUUGAACUGUUUUUAUUUUGUAUAUUUUUUAUUAAGAAUAAAGAUUAUUUUUGAAAAAUAAAAAAAUAUUUGCCUUUCGAUUCUCAAAUCUUUUCACAAGAAAGAUUUCCUGCUCUAAUUUGUGCUAUUUCCUCCUCUCUUACAUUUUGUUUUCUUACUGGUUCAUUUUUAUUUGUUAUCUGGAAUUACCAAGCCUACAACACCCACUCUUAACCAGCCCUGACAUCACAUACACCAUUCAGUAUCUCCUGCUCUUUGCCACAUCACAGGCAUUCUCUUUGUUCUUCCCCCUUAUAUACAACUUUAAGACAGUUUUGAUUUCUUAAUGUUGAAAACCUUAAACAUCGUUUUUUUUUUUUUCUCUC